rnacentral:rRNA from 1 species
ACGGGAGGCAGCAGUGAGGAAUAUUGGUCAAUGGGCGGAAGCCUGAACCAGCCAUGCCGCGUGAAGGAAUAAGGCCCUAUGGGUCGUAAACUUCUUUUGACGGGGAGCAAUAAGACGUACGUGUACGUCGAUGAGAGUACUCGUCGAAUAAGCAUCGGCUAACUCCGUGCCAGCAGCCGCGGUAAUACGGAGGAUGCAAGCGUUAUCCGGAUUUAUUGGGUUUAAAGGGAGCGUAGGCGGCCUUUUAAGUCAGCGGUCAAAUGUCAGCGCCCAACGCUGGCCUGCCGUUGAUACUGAUGGGCUUGAAUACACACAAGGAAGGUGGAAUUCGUCGUGUAGCGGUGAAAUGCUUAGAUAUGACGAAGAACUCCGAUUGCGAAGGCAGCCUUCUGGAGUGCGAUUGACGCUGAGGCUCGAAAGCGCGGGUAUCAAACAGGAUUAGAUACCCUGGUA